AGCUUCGGCAGAUUUAGCUUGUUUCUAGUGGCGGACGGGUGAGUAACGCGUGGGUAACCUGCCUUAUACUGGGGGAUAACAGCCAGAAAUGACUGCUAAUACCGCAUAAGCGCACAGAACCGCAUGGUUCGGUGUGAAAAACUCCGGUGGUAUAAGAUGGACCCGCGUUGGAUUAGCUAGUUGGCAGGGCAGCGGCCUACCAAGGCGACGAUCCAUAGCCGGCCUGAGAGGGUGAACGGCCACAUUGGGACUGAGACACGGCCCAGACUCCUACGGGAGGCAGCAGUGGGGAAUAUUGCACAAUGGGGGAAACCUUGAUGCAGCGACGCCGCGUGAAGGAAGAAGUAUCUCGGUAUGUAAACUUCUAUCAGCAGGGAAGAUAAUGACGGUACCUGACUAAGAAGCCCCGGCUAACUACGUGCCAGCAGCCGCGGUAAUACGUAGGGGACAAGCGUUAUCCGGAUUUACUGGGUGUAAAGGGAGCGUAGACGGCGCAGCAAGUCUGAUGUGAAAGGCAGGGGCUUAACCCCUGGACUGCAUUGGAAACUGCUGUGCUUGAGUGCCGGAGGGGUAAGCGGAAUUCCUAGUGUAGCGGUGAAAUGCGUAGAUAUUAGGAGGAAC
rnacentral:rRNA from 1 species